CCAACUUUUAAACUAUUAUACUUGCUCUAUGUUAGAAGCACAAAACGAAUGUCAAUGAGUCAUUAAAAGCUAUAAAUAGCUUUUAGUGACAAAUUUACGUUCUGCUUGACAAAUAACUCUGAAUCUUAUUCUUUUAUUGUAUUUAAAGACGGAGAACAACUUCUGCGACGAAGACUCAAUUGUCGUCAAUCUUUUAUAAAUACGGAAAUUCCUGUUAUAUAAGGUGUUGGGGAAUAAAUAAAAUAUGAAUAUAAAACUGGCAACAACAAUCGAACUACAAAUUUUAAGUAAAUGGUUUCAAUUUAUUAUAUUCAAUCUAUUCGGACAUAACAAACUAUCCAACAUUUAAUCCUACACAGGACUCAAGUUUACUUUGUUCACAGUGAAAUAAAUAUGCCGUAUUUAUUCCACUAUAUAAAUAUCAUAUUUGCUGUACGGCGAUUGGCGUAACAGGAGAUCAACAAAAUUUGUCAAAACUAUUGACGUAUAUAGUUGACAAAACUUAUAAUAUAUAAGAAUCUAAAUAACCAAACAUCCCUUAAGCAGUUAUAGACUAAUUUGAUAACCAUUUUAUGCCUAAACUCAACAUAAAUUACGAGAAAUUCAUUUUACGGCAGAUGAAACAGUUACGUAUGGAAUCAACUCACCAAUUUUUUAUUUAACUCAAGAAACAAGCAAAGAAAUGUAACUCUGACAACGCAAACUUAUGCAUAUUAUUACAAAUAGAUCUUUUAACAGCGAUCAAACAACUUUGAACCGUCUUUUAUUCCAAAGUACAGUUGGUAGUUAUGCUGCAAUACAACAACAUAGAAGACGUUAUUAACUAUAUUCACAAGAAAAUGGAACCUUAUAAAGGUGACAACGAGGAAGAUGUUAUAUCGCAAUUAAAAGAGGAGAACAACUAUCACGAGGAAGACUCGAGUGCGGCUAACCUUAUAUAUAUACGGAAAUUCUUAUUCUAAUGAGGGACGAUUUGGGCUGCAUAUCAUAUCAAUUGACGGUUAUUUAAAAAACUCUUGGAUAGACUAAGAGUAAGGCAAGUUCCAUGACGCAUUUUGAUUAAAUUUAAUAUAUAGAAAAUAAUAUAAUUUUUUUAUUUCAAGGAGUACUACUUGAAAAAACUACGUAAGUGAAACCAUAAAGUUUGCAAUUAGCACCAGGUUCAUUUUCAAAUACAGAAAACUGUAAUUCACGAACGUCAAUAAACAAUGCUUAUUGACGUUCGUCAAUUAAAGUUUUCUGUAUUUGAAUUUUUACUGUUUAUUUAUA